GGCGCUUGGAGGACUUUGAAACCAUUGUGUGUAUGAAACAGGUAUGGGAGUGAAUUAAUGUGGUUUAGUGUGUUUGACAGUGUUGAUUUGUUGAUUAAAGACACAGUCAGGUGUUUGGGAAUAUUUGUUAUUUGUCUUUAAAAGUAGUUAUGUUUUUAUAUAUAAGAGCAGGUAAUUUAAUCUCAUGUGAGCAGAUGGAGAUGGUAUUUGUGGUGAAAUCAAUAUGAAAGGCUCUGUAAGGAGUUUUCCUCUCAUGUUGACCAUAUGAAAUCAGGGGAGUUUUUCUUGGAUAAAGACUGCAUUUCCCAUAAGCACCAUCACCCACUCUGGUACAAUAGUGUAACUUGCAAAUGCAUUCAUUUAUGCACUAUUAUAGUAUGUUGUGAUGUGUUAGGUGGUUCUUAAAAUGUGGGACAAACAUGUUUAAGGAUGGAGAUGUAGACCACUUCGUGCAAAACUAGAAGAAAAUCAUCUCUCAUUGGCUAAAACUCAGUCAUGUGGUGACUAAACACACUUUAGUGUGUGUGUGUGUGUGUGUGUGUGUGUGUGUGUGUGUGUGUGUGUGUGUGUGUGCAUCAUACCAUGAGUGUGUGUGAAGGCUGAAUUAUUUUGGAUUGCACCUCUUCGUGUCAGUCAGUGAGGCCUUCAAUUACAGCCUGAGAGAAACACUAAUGGGAUUAUAAUUAUGUGUGUGUGGGCGUGCGUGCGUGUGUUUGAAGGCAGAUGUUCUUCAGAGUAUUGUUUGCACUAAAAACACCUUGUCGUUCGUGAGUGCAAAGACAAAAUCCAUGUGUGUAUAGAAGUGUGUGCAGAAAUGCAUGUGCAUGUAUGUGCAGGCAUGCAUGUGUGUAUGUGUGUGUGCGUGCAUGCACACAUGCAUGUGCUUGUUGGUCUGUGUGAAUGGUAUUUAACUGUGCAUGGUCAAAAUGUUUAGGUCAAUUUUAUUGGUCAUCUUUGAAUGGCAACUUGGUUGUUUGUCUGGUUCAUACUAACAAAAUAUUUGUCAAUUUAAAUUAUUUUGUGCAGAUGACAUUAUCAGGUGACAUUGCACACAUACACUCACCGGCCACUUUAUUAGGUACACCAUGCUAGUAACGGGUUGGACCCCCUUUUGCCUUCAGAACUGCCUCAAUUCUUCGUGGCAUAGAUUCAACAAGGUGCUGGAAGCAUUCCUCAGAGAGCUUGGUCCAUAUUGACAUGAUGGCAUCACACAGUUGCAGCAGAUUUGUCGGCUGCACAUCCAUGAUGCGAAUCUCCCGUUCCACCACAUCCCAAAGAUGCUCUAUUGGAUUGAGAUCUGGUGACUGUGGAGGCCAUUUGAGUACAGUGAACUCAUUGUCAUGUUCAAGAAACCAGUCUGAGAUGAUUCCAGCUUUAUGACAUGGCGCAUUAUCCUGCUGAAAGUAGCCAUCAGAAGUUGGGUACAUUGUGGUCAUAAAGGGAUGGACAUGGUCAGCAACAAUACUCAGGUAGGCUGUGGCAUUGCAACGAUGCUCAAUUGGUACCAAGGGGCCCAAAGAGUGCCAAGAAAAUAUUCCCCACACCAUGACACCACCACCACCAGCCUGAACCGUCGAUACAAGGCAGGAUGGAUCCAUGCUUUCAUGUUGUUGACGCCAAAUUGUGACCCUACCAUCCGAAUGUCGCAGCAGAAAUCGAGACUCAUCAGACCAGGCAACGUUUUUCCAAUCUUCUAUUGUCCAAUUUCGAUGAGCUUGUGCAAAUUGUAGCCUCAGUUUCCUGUUCUUAGCUGAAAGGAGUGGCACCCAGUGUGGUCUUCUGCUGCUGUAGCCCAUCUGCCUCAAAGUUCGACGUACUGUGCGUUCAGAGAUGCUCUUCUGCCUACCUUGGUUGUAACGGGUGGUUAUUUGAGUCACUGUUGCCUUUCUAUCAGCUCGAACCAGUCUGGCCAUUCUCCUCUGACCUCUGGCAUCAACAAGGCAUUUCCGCCCACAGAACUGCCGCUCACUGGAUAUUUUUUCUUUUUCGGACCAUUCUCUGUAAACCCUAGAGAUGGUUGUGCGUGAAAAUCCCAGUAGAUCAGCAGUUUCUGAAAUACUCAGACCAGCCCUCCUGGCACCAACAACCAUGCCACGUUCAAAGUCACUCAAAUCACCUAUCUUCCCCUUACUGAUGCUCGGUUUGAACUGCAGGAGAUUGUCUUUACCAUGUCUACAUGCCUAAAUGCACUAAGUUGCCGCCAUGUGAUUGGCUGAUUAGAAAUUAAGUGUUAACGAGCAGUUGGACAGGUGUACCUAAUAAAGUGGCCGGUGAGUGUAUGUCAGGAGCUGCAUUUCCAUUACAUUCACAAAAUAUAAGCGAUGUUUAUCAAAUUUUGACAUAGUACAAUUGCGAUUUGCGGGUGUUUCCAUUGAAUGGUGUUCAGUGCGUAAGCGAGCCGUCUGCCUCUCGCGAGCUGUGUUUGAAUGGCCGUUACCUAGCAACGAGGUAAACUUCCUGCCCGUGCGACCUCGUAUUCCUUAAGCCUUUUUGCACACCAACAUGGAGAAGAUACAAAACAUUUUGCAUUUUGGAGCAGCUAUUUCUGUGACUAGAAUAGUGUUUCCACACUUUUGCAAUAUACUUCUAUAUCGACACGUCUGAAAAACAACCUCAUGAGAGUGUAAAAACUUUUUAGCGAUAUUUAAGAGGUUUUUCGAAAUUUAGGUGUUUUCAAUACCAGUUUUCUAUUGCGAUAUUUAGGUUUUGCGCAAAUCUAUGGGUAAUGGAAACCCAACUACUGAGAGUUACAGCUGUCUUUACAGUUUCCAUGGUAAAGCGUAGUUAUGUUAUGUUGUAACCUCAUCACGCAUGGAGUCAUGAGGUGUUAAAAUGACCUCAUGAGCAUUUGAGUCACCUGAGUUUCCAUCCUCUGGACAGACAUAUGCACCAUAUUCUGAAGGAGUCAGUGUGGAGUGUUGUGUCUCUGUGGCACAAUGGACAAUGCACUUGACUUCUAGUGAGACUUAAAAGUACAGAGUCAAAGGUUGUGGGUUUGAGUCCCACCAGUCAUAAUAUAUGAAUGGUUGAAUGUAGCAUACAAAAGUGCCUUAAUGAGGAAGUUGGCUCAAUCAUAUUUGACACAAAGUCAUUUUUAGUUGGAACCAUUCGCUCUGGACUGGACUUGGAGCUGUCAUUGUAAAGCUUAAUCAUAAGUUGUUGGUUCUAGUCUCACCAGAGUUUGAUUUAUCAUACAGAUUCAAGUUUGACAUUAUAGGUUAAAUGCAUUGGCUUACAUUAAGUGUGCCACACACUGCAAAGGUAGUAAACACAGAGACAGUGCCUCACUGUGCUUUUCUUGGUCCAAGAUCAUCACAGUCAAAAUGUUUAAAAUCUGUGAGUCAAAUAAAGUCAUCUUGAAGGGGCUUUGUAGGUUGUUGGUUUGAGUCCAGUCAGAGUUGAGUUAAAGUCAUGAGUAACUAGGCACUGUGAACCUUUAAAGUUAAUGUUUCUGUUGCAUGUUAGUAAAAUCCUUCAAAUUGAGAACACAUGUAUGUGACAUGUUAAAGCCUGUGUGUUUUACUCAGAGACUCCACAGCUCUAAAAAACACAGGGCUCAUUUAUCUCACAGGCAAAAAGAAAUCAAACGCACCCCAACCAUGUCGGGUAUUUGGACUCAGCUUUAAUAUCAAGACUAAUCCAGAUAAUUAUGGGAUGUGGGCUGAUGGUUCCCUCGGCGACCACUGUUUGUCAUUUAUAAUAAUUAGUCUGACAAUUUAGUAUCAUCUGAGGUUGGACUGAGGCUCUGCUGUGUGUGUAAGUGUGUGUGUGUUUGUGUGGGGGCCCAGGCGACUGAUGUAUACCACACUGUUUCCAACCUCAAAGCAAAGCAGUAAACAACAUACACAACAAACACGCAACUGCAUAAAUACAUACAGUGAACAGUAAUCUGGUUCUAACAGAGAGAUUCCUGUGUCAGCAAACACUCCUUGUUUCCUGGAAAGAGACAGAGGUACAAAAUAUAAAAUACUUCUCAAGGAGCUAGGAGGCUCUGUGGCGCAACGGAUAGCUCAUUGGACUUAGUGAAAAGGUGAAGAGGGAAUGCAAAGGCUGUGGGUUUGAGUCCUGCCAGAGUCGUACCUUAACACCUAAAACACAUGAUGGCUCUCCUCAGUCUGCAUCACCUGUAGGUAAAGAUUGUGUUGGAGCAAUUUUAAGCUGCCUGCUAAAAGCGUGACAUUUUUUACCCUCUAAUAUCUCACCUUCAGUGUCUCAGCUCAGCGGCAUGAUAGGACCUAGUCAAAUCACCUCAUCGUGGUGUAUUUAUUUACCAAAGCUACACUCUUAAACAUCAAUAUUACGUCAAUGGAGGGGCUGAUAUGAAAGUAUAGGAAGUGAUGGUGCCAGAGCCUUACUGUGGACAAUGUUAAAGGGGCUUCGGUCAUAAAAUCACAGAGCUACAAGUCUUCUUCUAGAUCACAGAUGUUUUCAGGAGAUUGCUGGGAGAUCGUUUGUGUCAGAUGCAACUCAAAAUACUGCAUUUGUUGUAAGAUAAAGAGGCAGCUGGGUCGUGCAGUUAAGAAAAAAAGCCAGACAAAUGAGGGGAACCAUAGACAAGUAGUGGGCAAAGUACUGUGGCUGUUUCGUCCUUUACGAUAACUGCAGAACUCUCCCCCUUCUGUCUUCUCCUGCAGCAGAGCAUGGGUGCAGCCCUUCAUUCACUUUACCAUAAAAAACUCAACAAAAUUCGAGAGCAUAAGGAGAUUUCAGGUGCAGCCACAGUUUAAGAGAGUAGAUCAGUGAGAGUAGAGCAGAGAGAGGAGCAAGUGUGCCUGAAAAGCUAAAGGAUGGCGUUAGCACAAUAAAAGUGAGGCUGGAGUGAUAACAAGUGCUGACAAGCUAACAACUGCCAGACUAAACAGUUACAUAAUGGCACAUAUUCAGCUCAGCUCGAUUAAGUCUGGAAAUUUUUAGGAUUUUUGUGCAUACAGUUUGUGAAAACUCAGACCUUUAAGAAAGGGCCUCUUUGUCUUGACAAACUCUCAGACUUUACUUGUUUUUCAUUUUUAAAGAGAGACUCCUGUGGGUGUGUUUUCUACCCUUUCACAUCGGUCCAGUCUUGUUCUGUCCCUGGACUAUCUGAGGUGAAUCUGGUCUCUUUUACAGCCUAACUCUUCGGAUGGUUUUCUGCAGGUUAAGAGUUUAGAUCAGCAGAGACAAAGCUUCAUGUGUUCUUUGUGUUUACACUUUAAACCAGGUGUGGGAGGCUGGAGUUACAGUAGCUGGAGUAAAGUGUGUGUGUGUACAUUCCCAUCAUGAAUCACUCCCCCAUCAUUGACUCUUCUCAUAAAAAGUUUUUGUCUGUCAUUCAGUCCAAACACUCUCUAACCCUGUCUCUAACAGCCGAGGAGUGUUUACUGCGUUAUUAGUCACACACAAAAACUAGAAAAAAGAAAAAAAAAACAUGCAGGGGAUUUCCACCCCCCCACCCCCCCCACACACACACACACACACACACACACACACACACACACACACACACACACACACAUUUUUUGUAACUUUAGACAUAUUUUAGCCGCAGCAGCUGAUAAUCAUUCAAAGAGGUUAAUGGUCCUAAACUGUCAGCUGAGAGGAUGAAACUUUCCACAUCCCUUUUUUUAACUCUCUGAAUCAAUCGUCUGGAAAUUAGUCCGGUCUGUUUCUCAGUGAUGUUGUUCAGGACAAUUCAAAGUUAAACUGACUUUGAGAAAGACGUUGUUGUCCUGCUGGACUCAAGCAGAACUGGAUUAAAGUCCACCAAAAAAAAAAAAAACUAGUGACAACGGAAACUGCGGAUGUAUGAAGUCCAGAUUUAGCUGUAUGUGGACAGACAGAGGUCAGAGGUCAAAGUCUCUCUGACUGCUUCAUGUCUCCCUCAGGAAGAGUUUUACAGCAGCACUGUUACAUCUUUCUGUUUCUGUUACGUAAGCGCUAAUUGUGUCUUUUGUGUUCAGAGGUUUAUUUCAACCCUUUUCAUCUCAUUCCAUCGAUUGUUCAGUGAAUCUGAUUUAUGAGUCUGUGUGUUUUAUAGACUGAACAAACCAAAGUUUUGCUUUGCUUUGUCAGAGGACUGUACAAUAAAGAAACUGUAAAAGUUAAUCAAAUAUAAUAGCAGACAGCAGAAAUACAGCACGACAACACAGACUUGAACCCUAAUACUUAAAGAUUUGUACUUGACAAAGGAAAGCUUCAAACCAACAGCUCAGUUUUGCGAAUUUUGUCUGUCUUGUCCCAAAAAAUAGAGAGGGAAAACAGAAUCUUCUCGCACAGCUCUGGCGGUAUUUACAGCUUAUAAAUCCUUUGUAUUGUUUUUGUUAGAAAAUCACUAAAUAACUCCACAGAGCUUUCAUUUCUCUGCUAAAAUACCACCAGAAACUUGAUGUUUUGAAAAAUGGAGAUCAUGCAGCUGUGAAUAAUGUGCACUACCUGCAGUGUCCACUAGAGGCUGUGUACUGCAGUGAGUCAGUCUCCAUGGAACCCCAUGUUAAAAUGUCCAACUUUACAGCUGUUUUCAUGUUUGUAUCAUUCAGGCUCUAUUAUCAUGUUUUAAUGAACCUUGGAGUGCUUUUAUAAAUCAGAUCUUCAGUCUCGUAGUUUUCAGCCCAAACUGUCGUGAGCAAAGCAAC
rnacentral:lncRNA from 1 species